GCAUUCGUAGUGCAAAUGAUAUAGCAUGCACCCUUGGAUUGGGUGAAAUGCGGGUUCAAAUCCCGCUUGACGCA